rnacentral:rRNA from 1 species
GACGAACGCUGGCGGCGUGCUUAACACAUGCAAGUCGAACGGAAAGGCCUGCUUUCCCUUGUGGAUUGCGGGUACUCGAGUGGCGAACGGGUGAGUAACACGUGAGUGAUCUGCCCCCAACUUGGGUAUAAGCCUGGGAAACUGGGUCUAAUUCCCGAUAGGACUGCAGGGUGGUGCCUGUGGUGGAAAACGAUUUUCUAGUGGUUGGGGAUGAGCUCGCGGCCUAUCAGCUUGUUGGUGGGGUAAUGGCCUACCAAGGCGGCGACGGGUAGCCGGCCUGAGAGGGUGGACGGCCACAUUGGGACUGGGAUACGGCCCAGACGCCUACGGGAGGCAGCAGUGGGGAAUAUUGCACAAUGGGCGGAAGCCUGAUGCAGCGACGCCGCGGGGGGGAUGACGGCCUUCGGGUUGUAAACUCCUUGCGACCGCGAGGAAGCCACCUGGUUGGAAGGGUGGUGACGGUAGUGGUAGAAGAAGCACCGGCUAACUACGUG